GCCAGACAGCGAUUGGCAGAUUGGUACCCAACUCCGUGAGGUCCGGAAGGAAGCAGCGGUCAGUAUUUAGUCUGGGUAGUCGUGUUGUCUGGCUUU
rnacentral:SRP_RNA from 1 species